CAAGUAGUCUUUACCUGCUCUGCCUGGUAGGGGCCUAUGUAUUCAAAUUGAAGCUUAACUUUAUUCUGCCUUUUGUACCCAGCUGGAUUUUAGAUAAAUUUCCAUAUGCAUAUUAUCUGGAUCUGUUGCCUUGGUGUUUUUUUCUUUCAAAAAGAUGCAUAUUGUUAAAUUUGAAUACAUUCCUAGUUAUUUUAAGAGUUCAUAUUACUAAGAAUUAUUCUGCUAUUCUGUAUAGUUGAGAUUUUUUUGUCGCUGAGAUGUAUGCGUGGCUCUGAACGCUCCAUUUUUCUUGUAAAACCUUUUUAACUGGUUACUUGCAACUUAGAAGGAAGAACUUAAUAGUACUCACCUACCUGAUUUGUUUUUAGGACAUACCAGAAUUGUUUAUUAUUAUGAAUCUUAAGUUCUUAACUACUCUGCAAACUCAAAAUUUUCCUUCUAAAGUCGGUUCGAAUCAAUUUUUAUACAUAUUUUGUGUUCUCUGCUUUCCUCAGUUUUGUUCUCACAGUUCAUGAUAUUUAGCAAAAUUCUACAUAUGAGUUUCGGGACAAUCUUGCUUGACAAUUCAAUUCGUUCUAGAUUUGUUAGUUUUGUUCUCACAGUUCAUGAUAUUUAGCAAAAUUCUACAUACGAGUUUCGGGACAAUCUUGCUUGACCAAUUCAAUUCGUUC
rnacentral:lncRNA from 1 species